AUAACAAUACAGGACUCUUUAGAGGUCCUGUAAUUGUAAUGAGUCCACUUGAAAUCCUUUAAUUCUGAUCAAUUGGAGGGCAAGUCUGGUGCAGAGCGACUGACCUGUGCGUGCUGCAGCUGAAA
rnacentral:rRNA from 1 species